CCGUGCGCUGCUAUACAUGCAGUCGAGCGGACAGAUGGGAGCUUGCUCCCUGAUGUUAGCGGCGGACGGGUGAGUAACACGUGGGUAACCUGCCUGUAAGACUGGGAUAACUCCGGGAAACCGGGGCUAAUACCGGAUGGUUGUUUGAACCGCAUGGUUCAAACAUAAAAGGUGGCUUCGGCUACCACUUACAGAUGGACCCGCGGCGCAUUAGCUAGUUGGUGAGGUAACGGCUCACCAAGGCAACGAUGCGUAGCCGACCUGAGAGGGUGAUCGGCCACACUGGGACUGAGACACGGCCCAGACUCCUACGGGAGGCAGCAGUAGGGAAUCUUCCGCAAUGGACGAAAGUCUGACGGAGCAACGCCGCGUGAGUGAUGAAGGUUUUCGGAUCGUAAAGCUCUGUUGUUAGGGAAGAACAAGUACCGUUCGAAUAGGGCGGUACCUUGACGGUACCUAACCAGAGAGCCACGGCUAACUACGUGCCAGCAGCCGCGGUAAUACGUAGGUGGCAAGCGUUGUCCGGAAUUAUUGGGCGUAAAGGGCUCGCAGGCGGUUUCUUAAGUCUGAUGUGAAAGCCCCCGGCUCAACCGGGGAGGGUCAUUGGAAACUGGGGAACUUGAGUGCAGAAGAGGAGAGUGGAAUUCCACGUGUAGCGGUGAAAUGCGUAGAGAUGUGGAGGAACACCAGUGGCGAAGGCGACUCUCUGGUCUGUAACUGACGCUGAGGAGCGAAAGCGUGGGGAGCGAACAGGAUUAGAUACCCUCUGAGACUG
rnacentral:rRNA from 1 species